GACGAACGCUGGCGGCGUGCUUAACACAUGCAAGUCGAACGGUGAACCUGCUUCGGUGGGGGAUCAGUGGCGAACGGGUGAGUAACACGUGGGCAACCUGCCCUCAGCUCUGGGAUAACUCCAAGAAAUUGGGGCUAAUACUGGAUAUGACCGCUGACCGCAUGGUCUGGUGGUGGAAAGAUUUAUCGGCUGGGGAUGGGCCCGCGGCCUAUCAGCUUGUUGGUGGGGUAGUGGCCUACCAAGGCGACGACGGGUAGCCGGCCUGAGAGGGUGACCGGCCACACUGGGACUGAGACACGGCCCAGACUCCUACGGGAGGCAGCAGUGGGGAAUAUUGCGCAAUGGGCGAAAGCCUGACGCAGCGACGCCGCGUGGGGGAUGACGGCCCUCGGGUUGUAAACCUCUUUCAGCAGGGACGAAGCGAAAGUGACGGUACCUGCAGAAGAAGCACCGGCCAACUACGU
rnacentral:rRNA from 1 species